AAGGUUUUAAGUUAUUAUAAACUACAAGCCUUCAAAGCUUGAAAUAAGGAGAUGUUCUUUAAACCUUG
rnacentral:tRNA from 1 species